GACAAUGCCCAAUCAAUGUGAGAUUGUAGCCUGUGAGAAUCAUUUGCUUUUGCUUUUACUUUCCUUCUAGUAUGAUAGAAUGAAUGUCAUUUUAGUGUUUAUCCUACAUAUGAAGGAUUCAAGCAAUACUCAGGCUGUUAAGAUGUAGACUAAACCCUAAAUCCAUCUGGAAACAGUUUGAAGUCCGUGGGUCAAUGGUGCAAGUCAUCAGAUGUCGAGAGCCCAUAAAGGAAGAAAGAAUGAGAUGUUAUGACUUCAGCAAGGGCACAGGGGCUCUCAUCACUUGGAUGCAACAGAGGCAGCAAGGCCAUGAAGCUUCCCCAGAUGGAAAGAACUGGAUCAAGGAAUCUCCAGCUGGAGGACUGGGAAGCAUGAGGUCACCUCUAGGUGAUUUGCUCAUUCAUCACCGAGUGAAUUGCAGCACUGAGUGGAGCACUGGUUGAGCAUCAUAAAGAUAGAAUAAACGUGGGUGUUUAUAUGAAUCAGGAGCCUAAAAAUAUUUGUACCCACUGACCUAGGAAAAAACACUUCUAGGAAAGAGUUCUAAGGAAACAAACCCCAUUAGGGCAGCACCUUCAAACACAAAAAUAUGUGACACACUAUCAUUUAUAACUAUAAUGUAUGGAAACCUAAAUUUUCCUGACUCAGAGAAUGAUAAAAUAAAUCAUGAUAUAGCCACUGUGUUGCUUAUUAUUCAGCCCUUAAAAUGAAUGGAGAGAAAUGGCAUGAAUAUACUCAACACUACUUGUAAAAAGAUGGAAAAUUAUACAUUGUACAAGAUGGAGAAUUAAAUAUAUAUAUCUAUGUUACAAAUACUGUACCCAUAUAUAUUCUUUAAACCCUAAGCAUGGAAAAAAUUAAGGUCACAGAAAAUACAUGUCCUAAAAUGUUAAUAAUGCUUACACUUUAUGUGAUUGGUCCGUGGGUGAUUGGUUUCCUUGUUUUACUCGUUUUCUGGAUUUUUCUCAUUUUAUUUAGUAUUACAUUCUUGGUCAACUCAAAUUUACACUAGAUAAAUUUUGUUUGAAAACUAACAUUGUUGAAAAUAGGUUAUCAGCUGCUGAACUUUAAUUUGAGAGAGUUAUAAAUAUACUGAAAAUUCUAUCCAAUGACCUUUGCUAAAAUGAAGUUUGCAUUUCCAAUUUAACAUAAAUAAUGCCAGACUGUAAGUAGGUUUUUUAUUCUUUUCAUUUCAUAAUUUCAGUGGUGUAAAGGGCUUUGCUUCCUCAGCUAGAUCUUUGUGUUUUCUUUUCCACCCUUUCUUAUUUUGUUAUCACAUAGCUAACAAGCACACAUCACAUCCAGGUGCUCCCAGUCAGGUAGGGGCAGGUAGACUGUGUGAGCCAGUAACUACAGCACAAAGCAGGAGGUGCUGAGACUCCUGAGAGGAAUAAACCAAAUCUCAGAACACCUCAAAGAGGGAGAAAUGACCUCUGGCCCGAGGCCUGGGGAAGGCCUAGAGGAAGGGAUGCAACUUUGAAAGAUACACAGGAUUUGAACAUCUGCAGCCUGGGUGGGAGGCGGCAGUGCUGCUGCGGCAGCAUUACAGAGGUGUGAAAUUGUGGGCUCAGAGGGAAGACUGAGCAAUUUGUGCAGCUGCAGGGUGGUAGGGAAAAUGUGAGUUCAGCCCAAACCAGAGAGGGCCUCGAAUUCUCCCGAAGGAGGUUGGAGUUGAUAGGUUAGGUGGAACGAUGGUGGAAAUGAGACACAAGGAGAGCAAGCCCGCCCCUUAGGAAUGCUCACCUCCUGUGUCUGUAGAAUUACUGUCUUUAAACUCCUGGGGCUUCCACCUCGCCCCUAAGCUUGCUAAUAUGGGUUGUGGGGAAGGGGAAGCAAAGGGAAGAGAGCCGCAACGUUGGGUUUCACUGGGGCUUUAGCAUCCAGAUAUCCUUCCUCGUUACUGUUUAUUGCGAAUAAAGAUGACUCUAUUGCUUGUUUUGUUGAAAACUCUGUGUCACAGACAAUGCUUCCUUCCCCUCAUCCUGUCCCCUCUCCCCGCACUCUCAGUCCAUACCAUGAGUUAACUCUCAGAGUGAUACAUGACUUAACAUUCCCUCCCUCACUUCUUGGGGAACCCCCUUCAUAGCAUGAUUCCCUUUUUUGGAGAGCUGGCUUACCCUAGUUGGAGAGAAUGAGAAGGAGGAACUGGAAACUGCUGAGUCAAUCACAUUUUUGAUAAUGGACCUCAUUAUCUACCUCUGUGAUUAUGCUUACCACACUGUUAUAAAUAACUAAUCAUGUAAUUUUCUCUUACAAAACGAUAACUAUAACAUGAAGAAUUUCCUGAUUUCUUAUAAUUUUAUAAUUUUCUUAUGACUUUUAUUCUUUUAAAUAAAGGUG
ensembl:lincRNA